rnacentral:tRNA from 1 species
GGCGAUAUAGUUUAAGGGGAAAACAAUUAUUUCAUGUGUAAUAAGAUAGGGGUUCAAUUCCCUUUUUCGCUU